UGAUAGCAUUCAAACGCAUCAGGUUAUACGGAAGAGAAAUUCCGAGGCAGAGGAAAAAGCCCAUCACCAUCACCACUGAAGACGCACACAUAUAAAACCACAGCACAGGGAAGGUGUUGACCUCAACCUGGCCAAGUGGCAACAGGAGGAGGAAGAUUUACAAGGAAAAUUAAAGUUGAGGGAACAUCUGUCUCAAACUGCUGGCAAGAGUGAAGCUACACCAGCUCCUUCAAAGAACACUGAUUUAGAGAUGAAACAGCUGCAGUGCAAACUAAAGUAGAGGAAAGAGAAAAGGUCAAAAUGGUACAGCUUCGUGCUGCUAGAAGAAACCCUUCAGAAGCAAGAAGUCUGCCAAAGGAUCAGCUAGAAGAAAAGGCUGCGUUACAUGAAUUCGAACACUGAGAUCACU
rnacentral:lncRNA from 1 species